GAUAUAGAUAUCCACAGUUACGGUACUUUAAUAAACAAACGCAGGAGAAGACACACACAGGUACAACUUAAACAACAACAAGAUCCGACAGGGAGUGAAUGGAGUGAGUCCGUUAUAAAGGAUGUGCUGAUGAACAGGAGCAGGUGCAGGUAAUCCGAGAUGAGUUCUGAUGGGAAGCUGAGGAGGGAAGUGAGUGCAGGUGAGGAGACAAGAGGAUCAUGGGAUUUGGAGUCUUAGAGACAAGGGAACUGUGACACCCCCAACCCCCCCUCUGUUUUUUCACAAAUCGUACAAUAUAUAUAUCACGUGUGUUCUACUUUAGAAGUAGUUGAAGAUGAGUGUCGUUAGUGUUUGUUUUUGUGUUAAUGUUUUAUUCAUGUUAUAUCAUCAGAAAUAACAGUAUUGUCUUUCACUAGAGCAGUUUAUAGGAUUUUCUCAUACAUUGUGACUCCAAUAAUGUGUAAUGUGUAACAGCAAACACUCAGAAUAAAGUGAGAUGAUCUGCUAAUGAUCUAAAUGUCUUGUUGAAUGAGUGUUGAACUUUACAAAUGUGUGCGGUGAGGACAUGUGUGCAUCACAGAUGUCAGACAGGGAAACCCCCGAAAUAAAAGCCUUGGAGGCAGCCAUACUCCUCAUAAGCAUGUGAGAUAGCCUCGACCACCCACUUGCUCAUUCUCUGCUUAGAUGCUGGUAGACCUUUUCUUGGUGCACUGAACAGCUGUUCAUCUUUUCUCCAGUUGGCAGCUCUGUGAACGUAUGCAUCCAAUGCCCAUACUGGACAUAGCAGAUUCAACUUUUCCUGGUCCGAUGACGUAAACGGAGGAGGACAAAAGGCCUGCAGCAUAAUAGGUCUCGCAGUAUUAGUGAGAACCUUUGGAAUGUAUCCCGGUCUGGGAUGUAGAAAUGCCUUCACAUUACCAGGCGCAAAUUCUAGACACGAUGGAGCAACCGACAGGGCUUGAAUGUUGAGAGACGAAAUAGUGAUGAGAAACACUGUUUUAAGUGUUAACUUUUCUGCCACCUCUUCGAUGGGCUCGAAGGGGGCCAUAGACAGGCCCUGUAAUACAAUGGCCAAAUCCCAUGUCGGAACUCAGUGCGUACUGCAGGUCUCAUCCUCAUAGUGCCACGAAGGAAACGAGUUACAUGCAGGUGUCUCCCCAAAGAGACUCCACUGAAAGGAGCGUGGUAAGCAGCUAAGGCUGCCACGUAUACCACAAAAAGAUAAUGCAAAAGAUGUGCUGCACGGGGUGUAAAUUCAAUCUCGGUGCUCUUUGGAUACGAGGGAAAGCUGUAUACUUGUAAUCAUAAGUAAUCCAAGGCAUUCGGAUCAAGCGAAAAAUAUUAUUAAAAAGCCUUUAUUUCAUCUUGGCUAUUAUUUAAAAGAAGGUGAGACAUACAUGUAGCACACCUACGCGUUGCGGCUAUUGCCUUCGUCAGGGUGUGAACAACAAACACAUUGGGAAUUCCACGUAUACCUUUAGUGUGGAGGGGGAUAACCCUGUGGAGAAUCUCUCCUGCAGAGAGGAUCCCACUGGAUCCCACUGAUGAUUCUCACACCAAGAAGUGAAUAAUCUCCACUUCAGAGCGUAAAGUUUCCUCGUGGAGGGAGCUCUGGAUUGGAGUAUGGUCUCAACAACCUCAGUUGAUAGACCGGAAUCUAUGAGACGUGCACCCUCAGAGGCCAUGCCCACAACUUCCAUAACUCCUAGCGGGGAUGCAGUAUUAGACCGCCCGCCUGAGAUAGAAGGUCCUCCCUGACCGGAAUCUCCAUCAGAGACCCGUCCAGGAGAGAAACCAGGUCCGAGAACCAAACUCGGGCCGGCCAGUACGGGGCUACCAAUAAUUGAUGGAUCCCGUCCCGGCGAACUCUCUCCAGAACUCAAAUGCGUACAGUGGUAGCCUCGGCCACGGCUGUACCAUAGCAUCCAGCCCAAGAGGUGCUGGGUUUGUCAUGGAGAACCACAGGGGACAGUGAGUCGUCCCUCCAGAUGCAAGCAGAUGUCUGCUCCCACAUUCAGGUACCCUGGGAUGUAAACUGCUCUGAGGGAUAGCAGUUUCCCUUGGGACCACAGGAGAAUCUGAUUGGCCAGCUUGUAAGCGGGCGUGAUCUCAGACCCCCCUGGUGAUUUAUAUACGAGACUACUGAUGUGUUGUCUGUUCUGACUAACACAUGUUUGUCUCUGAGGUCUGGGAGGAAGUAUCUCAAAGCUAGAAAUACCGCCAUCAUUUCUAGACAAUUUAUGUGCCAUGUGAGAUGAUGGUCCUGCCACAGCCCCCAUGUCGAGCGACCACUCAUGAUCGCCCCCCAGCCCGUGAGGGAUGCAUCUGUCGUUAGCGUGACGCGACAACUGAGAGCCCCCAGCACAGGUCCCUGGGAUAGAAACCAAGGUUGCUUCCAUAUGUCUAGAGCACGUAAGCAUCGCCGCGUGACUCUGAUCAUACUAAAUGGAUUCCCCCUCGGUGAGAACCCCUUGGUUUUGAGUAGGGCUGGACAAUAAUUCAAAAUCAAUAUAUAUCGCGAUAUAAUUUUUUUCAAUAACGGUGAUAUGAUUUUUAACCACAUUUCCGGUAUUUCGAUACAGCAUUUCUCACUGACUUGAGGCGCAGCCGUUAAAGAGCAGAACGCUAUUUGCGUGAUGACGUACACCACAGAGACACGCAGCCACCAGCCAGUGCUCAGCAGUUGUACGCCGAAAUCAAACGCGAAUGCGGCAAGUUUUACAAAAUGAGUACACCCGAUGCAAAUGCGACGGAACAAGCUUCCACAACUUGAUGAAAAUAUGUGUGCAUAACUAGACCGUGCUGGUUAAUGUUUGGUGCAGGAGAAUGUGUGAAAUAAAAACUUUAAACACGGAUACUUUAUUCUGUAUGAGCUAUGUGCCACGUGGCUAGUGUUAUUAAACUCAUCGCGGAGCUCUGCGCUGAAACCGAGCAUAUGCGCGCUC